rnacentral:tRNA from 1 species
GAGGGUCUAGCUCAGUGGUAGAGUGUGUGCCACAUGCACGAGGUCCUGGGUUCAAUCCCCAGUACCUCCA